GACGAACGCUGGCGGCGUGCCUAAUACACGCAAGUCGAACGAAGCUGUUUUAACUGGUGCUUGCACCGACUUAAACAACUGAGUGGCGAACGGGUGAGUAACACGUGGGUAACCUGCCCCAAAGCGGGGGAUAACAUUUGGAAACAGAUGCUAAUACCGCAUAACCACAGAAACCACAUGGUUUCUGUGUCAAAGAUGGUUUCGGCUAUCACUUUGGGAUGGACCCGCGGCGUAUUAGCUAGUUGGUAAGGUAAUGGCUUACCAAGGCAAUGAUGAGUGACCGAACUGAGAGGUGUAUCGGCCACAUUGGGAAUGAGACACGGCCCGAACUCCUACGGGAGGCAGCAGUAGGGAAUCUUCCACAAUGGACGAAAGUCUGAUGGAGCAACGCCGCGUGAGUGAAGAAGGUUUUCGGAUCGUAAAACUCUGUUGUCAGAGAAGAACGUGUGCGAGAGUAACUGCUCGUGCAGUGACGGUAUCUGGCCAGAAAGCCACGGCUAACUACGUGCCAGCCGCCGCAGUAA
rnacentral:rRNA from 1 species